rnacentral:rRNA from 1 species
GACGAACGCUGGCGGCGUGCCUAAUACAUGCAAGUCGAACGCAGUGGGGACGGGUGCGUACAACGUGGGUAACCUCCCAUCAGAGGGGAUAACACUUGGCAACAGGUGCUAAACCGAUACUGAUGGAUGGACCUGCGUUGCAUGAGCUCGUAGGAGGGGUAACGGCUCACCAAGGCCACGAUGAAUAGCCGGCCUGAGAGGUGGAUCUGCCACACUGUGACUGAGACACGGCCCAGACUCCUACGGGAGGCAGCAGUGGGGAAUCUUGGGCAAUGGACGAAAGUCUGACCGAGCAACGCCGCGUGAGUGAAGAAGGUUUUCGGAUCGUAAAACGCUGUUGUUAGGGAAGCGGUAUCUAACCAGAAAGCCACGGCUAACUACGUGCCAGCAGCCGCGGUAAUAC